rnacentral:rRNA from 1 species
CAUGUCUUUUUGAUUAUGAUUUAAAGUCUGGCCUGCCCGUUGAUGAUUAGUUAAAUGGCUGCAGUAUUUUGACUGUACUAAGGUAGCAUAAUAAUUAGUUUUUUAAUUGAAAACCAGUAUGAAUGGCUGAACGAGAAAGUUACUGUCUCUUUUUAAUUUAAUUUAGAAUUUAAUUUUUAAGUGAGAAAGCUUAAAUAAUAAUGAAAGACGAGAAGACCCUAUAGAGUUUAACAUUUUGUUUGUAAAAGAUUUAUUGGUAAUUGGUUUCUCUUACUUUUUGGAAUGUUUUGUUGGGGUGACAGUAAGAUUUAUUAAACUCUUAUUAUGAUAAUCAUUAAUUUAUGUUUAUUUGAUCUAAUUUUUUAAUUAAAAGAAUAAAUUACCUUAGGGAUAACAGCGUAAUCUUUUUAGAGAGUUCUUAUCGAAAAAAAGGGUUGCGACCUCGAUGUUGGAUUAAAGUUAAUUUUUGACGAAAAGGUUAGAAUAUUGAGUCUGUUCGACUUUUAAAACUUUACAUGAUCUGAGU